rnacentral:lncRNA from 1 species
CCAAAAUGUGAAGUAUUUUGCUAGAUGAUCCAAAAUUAUCAUAAUUUUAAAUGCCACUGCAUCAGUCAAACAAGUAAGCUUGUUAUAUUCAUUGUGAUAACUUCACUCCCAUAAGAGGUGUCAAUAACUUAAGUCAUCACUUGCAGAGGUAUUGAAACCAGAGUUUGAAAUAGAAAAUGUAACAGGUUUGAAAUUCAAACUGGAUCUGUAUUUUGUGGUAGUAGGCAUUGUGUUUAAGUUUCAUAAUAUUUGGUUGCAGAAUUUAAAACUUUGGGAACUGAAACUGUUUUAGGUGUACAUAUCCAGGAGUAAAUCUUGAUGACCCUCUGUUACAGCAGGGGCAUAACAAUGUUUUCAUAAAGCAAAAAGUUUUUUCGAAGGUGAAAUAGCAAACACUUUUUCUUUUGGCCUGACUCAGUGGUUGAUAAACUAAAUCAACAUCAAACAUAC